rnacentral:rRNA from 1 species
GACGAACGCUGGCGGCGUGCUUAACACAUGCAAGUCGAACGGUGAACCUCUUCGGAGGGGCUCAGUGGCGAACGGGUGAGUAACACGUGGGCAACCUGGCCCCGGCUCUGGGAUAACUCCAAGAAAUUGGGGCUAAUACCGGAUGUUAACCGCUUCUCGCAUGGGUGGUGGUGGAAGGGGUUUCUGGCUGGGGAUGGGCCCGCGGCCUAUCAGCUUGUGGGUGGGGUGUUGGCUUACCAGGGCGACGAGGGGUAGCCGGCCUGAGAGGGUGACCGGCCACACUGGGACGGAGACACGGCCCAGACUCAUCCGGGAGGCAGCAGUGGAGAAGAGUGCGUAAUGGGCUGAAGCAUGACGCAGCGACGCCGCGUGGGGGAUGACGGCCUGCGGUUUGUAAACCUCUGUCAGCAGAGACGAAGCGCAAGUGACGGUACCUGCAGAAGAAGCACCGGCCAACUACGUG